CAGUGUCCUUACAACUCUCUACUCCCUACCUAAUCUUGAUUCAGUCCACAGUGGCAAUCCCAGCUGGAAGCCUAAGAAAAGAUCAGUAAAGCUGUAUUCUCCUUAGAAUCAGUUUGAACUGGAUUCUCACUUCUCUUCUCUCUGCAUGAGCACUAAGCCCCAAUUUUCUCUGUCUGUCAAUAUAUGUCCAUUGUACAGUCUUCCUCAUGCUCCUUCCUUUGAUUUCUUUUCAUCCUCUCUUCUCCUACAGGUCUCUCUUACCAUUCUUGCUUUAUCUUUAAAUGACUGAAGAAACAUAGAGUCUUUUUCAAACAGCACAGUGUUUUACAUCAGCUGUAACAUAACGUACCUCUUUACAACUGAUCUGCCUCCCUCAUAAGGGCUGUAACAGUACGGACAACAACUUAAAGAAUCAUUGAACACUGUCCUCAGAGGACAACUGCAUCCUGCUCCACCAUCCCAGUUACAUAGAAAUUGUUCAGGAAAUCAGCACCAGUCGUCUUUGUGACUGGACUACCAAAAAAUAGGGACUGACCAGUUUCCCAUCCAGUCACUCAUCUUGGGACAUGCCAUGUGCUCUAUAAAGAGAGUAAAGAGUGGAAAGUUAUGGGGAAGUCCAAACCAGCAGGUUUCAACGGCAAGAGUGAAAUUUGCAUCAGCAAGAGUUCCUCUGUCCACAGGCUUCAGCUUAUAAUGUUUCUUGAUUGAAUCAUUUGCUGGACUUCAUGUGACUUCAUAGAUAAAACUAGUCUUGCUGAGAGGAGAUGGUUGCAAAUAUGAGAUUCUGCCUAUGAAACCAAGAGGGAGGCUCCCAAAUCAUAAAGAGCAAAGUACCUGAACUGGAGCCCCUGCUCAAAGCUGGCUACUAGUGAAAGGAAAGUGAGCUCUGCAAAAAGAACACGGCCUGAUUAGAGAGUGAGCAAG